rnacentral:rRNA from 1 species
UACGUAGGGGACUAGCGUUGUCCGGAAUCAUUGGGCGUAAAGAGCUCGUAGGCGGUUCGGCAAGUCGGAUGUGAAAUCUCCACGCUCAACGUGGAGGGGCCAUUCGAAACUGCCGUGACUCGAGUCCGGUAGGGGAGUGCGGAAUUCCCGGUGUAGCGGUGAAAUGCGCAGAUAUCGGGAGGAACACCAGUGGCGAAGGCGGCACUCUGGGCCGGAACUGACGCUGAGGAGCGAAAGCGUGGGGAGCGAACAGGA